AUUGAACGCUGGCGGCAGGCCUAACACAUGCAAGUCGAGCGCGCGGCGGGCGGGUGAGUAAUGUCUGGGAAACCGCCUGAUGUAGGGGGAGAAAUACUGGAAACGGUAGCUAAUAUCGCAUACCAUCAGAUGUGCCCCGAUGGGAUUAGCGAGUAGGUGGGGGAACGGCUCACCCAGGUGAAGAUCCCUAGCUGGUGUGAGAGGAUGACCAGCCAACCUGGGACUGGAGAACGGUCCAGACUCCUACGGGAGGCAGCAGUGGGGAAUAUUUGGCAAGGGGCGCAAGCCUGAUGCAGCCAUGCCGCGUGGGUGAAGAAGGCCUUCGGGUUGUAAAGCACUUUCGGCGGGGAAGCGUUACCCGCAGAAGAAGCACCGGCUAACUCCGUGCCAGCAGCCGCGGUAAUUC
rnacentral:rRNA from 1 species